rnacentral:rRNA from 1 species
GAUGAACGCUGGCGGCGUGCCUAAUACAUGCAAGUCGAGCGAACAGACGAGGAGCUUGCUCCUCUGACGUUAGCGGCGGACGGGUGAGUAACACGUGGAUAACCUACCUAUAAGACUGGGAUAACUUCGGGAAACCGGAGCUAAUACCGGAUAAUAUAUUGAACCGCAUGGUUCAAUAGUGAAAGACGGUUUUGCUGUCACUUAUAGAUGGAUCCGCGCCGCAUUAGCUAGUUGGUAAGGUAACGGCUUACCAAGGCAACGAUGCGUAGCCGACCUGAGAGGGUGAUCGGCCACACUGGAACUGAGACACGGUCCAGACUCCUACGGGAGGCAGCAGUAGGGAAUCUUCCGCAAUGGGGGAAAGCCGGACGGAGCAACGCCGCGUGAGUGAUGAAGGUCUUCGGAUCGUAAAACUCUGUUAUUAGGGAAGAACAAAUGUGUAAGUAACUAUGCACGUCUUGACGGUACCUAAUCAGAAAGCCACGGCUAACUACGUG